GUUCUUUUAGUAUUAACUAGUACAACUGACUUCCAAUCAGUUAGUCCUGGAGAACUCCGGGAAAGAAUA
rnacentral:tRNA from 1 species